rnacentral:lncRNA from 1 species
CAGGAGAAGGAAAAUCAUUUCUCACACCUACUAUAUGACUGAAGAUGUUCCCAGUGCACAGCAGCUGCCUGCACACCUGUCUGCAGCCUACAGAAAUUGCGAGGCCCAGUUCAUUCAUGGGAAAGCCCAAAAGAGGCUAUCAGGUUUCCACUGGGACUGGGUAUGGCCCACAGAAAUGAGACUGUGCCCAUCCCCUGCUCCAGGGAGGUGGCACAGCACUGGUGAGAGUGGGGGAGAAGAGUGAAGACGCACUGCAAGCACAGCCCUCAGCAGUGGCCAGUUCAAGCCACAGCAGAACACAUUUCAUUGACCGUGGGACAAGCAGUCGUGGAACAGGGAGAGGAGAAGUACCGCCAAGUUGGACACCAUACAAAAACAGAAUCAAGGACGUGGCGAGGCGUUUCCCGCUUGAAAAGCAAACAAGGAAGAUCUCAUGCCUUUGCAUCUGUGUCAGCAUGACAGGACUGCCCCCGGCUGAACAAGUUGCCAGCCCCUGACAAUUAUAACCCUGGUAAUCCACAUCAUCCCAGGUAGAUGAAGCGCUCAGGUAAAAAUAGCAAACAGGUCAGAAGGAGGUUAUAGAAAUACCAGAGGAUUAUUCAUAUUCCUUCAGGUAGCUAUAAGGAACAGUUUAAACACAAGAAUGACAGAUUAGAGUUGUCGCUGACAGAGAGAAAUGACUUCUCUGAGGACUAAGCUACAUUCAACCUUCUUUCUUUUGGUGUACAAGCCAAAGUCUUUUUCAAAUGGAGCCAGCCAUAAAGAAGUAACCAAAAAGUGGCAUGCACGGUCCUUCUGCAUCACUGGUCAUCUGAAAGCAAGGUGGGGAUACAAACAAGAGUCUCAGGCUGCCUUGCCCUAGACAUGCUCCUCUGAAGUGCUGCACACAUGGGUCUGAGCAGGGACACUACUGGGGCUAUGGAGAGGAGCAAAGUAGAGUGGUAGUAGAUUUUGCAGCACUACUCAAGACCUGAAAGAUAAGAGAGCCUGAGAGCAAGACUGUGAUUUGUUAUAUUUUAUCCAUUUGUAAGUAUACAAAUCCUGGUCUCAGAAGUUAUAAACUUACAGUAACAGUGAAGUGAUCUCAGCUGCAUUGCUCAGAUUUGGCAGGAGGGGGACAGCUCUCCAGUCUUCAGAGUACAGCAGAGUUACUUGGGGGAUAGUGUCAAAGUGCACUUAAGAAAUGAUAUUUCAUGCAUCCAUUGUGCUAAGUGAAGACAGUAGGCAGACACAGAGAAGAUAGA